CUGGGAGGACCAUCUCCUAAGGCUAAAUACUCUCUAGUGACCGAUAGUGAACCAGUACCGUGAGGGAAAGGUGAAAAGCACCCCGGAAGGGGAGUGAAAUAGAACCUGAAACCGUGUGCUUACAAGUAGUCAGAGCCCGUUAAUGGGUGAUGGCGUGCCUUUUGUAGAAUGAACCGGCGAGUUACGAUUUGAUGCAAGGUUAAGCAGUAAAUGUGGAGCCGUAGCGAAAGCGAGUCUGAAUAGGGCGUUUAGUAUUUGGUCGUAGACCCGAAACCAGGUGAUCUACCCUUGGUCAGGUUGAAGUUCAGGUAACACUGAAUGGAGGACCGAACCGACUUACGUUGAAAAGUGAGCGGAUGAACUGAGGGUAGCGGAGAAAUUCCAAUCGAACCUGGAGAUAGCUGGUUCUCUCCGAAAUAGCUUUAGGGCUAGCCUCAAGUGAUGAUUAUUGGAGGUAGAGCACUGUUUGGACGAGGGGCCCCUCUCGGGUUACCGAAUUCAGACAAACUCCGAAUGCCAAUUAAUUUAACUUGGGAGUCAGAACAUGGGUGAUAAGGUCCGUGUUCGAAAGGGAAACAGCCCAGACCACCAGCUAAGGUCCCAAAAUAUAUGUUAAGUGGAAAAGGAUGUGGCGUUGCCCAGACAAC
rnacentral:rRNA from 1 species